GAUGAACGCUGGCGGCGUGCCUAAUACAUGCAAGUCGAGCGAAUGGAUUAAGAGCUUGCUCUUAUGAAGUUAGCGGCGGACGGGUGAGUAACACGUGGGUAACCUGCCCAUAAGACUGGGAUAACUCCGGGAAACCGGGGCUAAUACCGGAUAACAUUUCGAACCGCAUGGUUCGAAAUUGAAGGGCGGCUUCGGCUGUCACUUAUGGAUGGACCCGCGUCGCAUUAGCUAGUUGGUGAGGUAACGGCUCACCAAGGCAACGAUGCGUAGCCGACAUGGGAGGGUGAUCGGCCACACUGGGACUGAGACACGGCCCAGACUCCUACGGGAGGCAGCAGUAGGGAAUCUUCCGCAAUGGACGAAAGUCUGACGGAGCAACGCCGCGUGAGUGAUGAAGGCUUUCGGGUCGUAAAACUCUGUUGUUAGGGAAGAACAAGUGCUAGUUGAAUAAGCUGACACCUUGACGGUACCUAACCAGAAAGCCACGGCUAACUACGUGCCAGCCGCCGCCGUAA
rnacentral:rRNA from 1 species